rnacentral:rRNA from 1 species
UGGGGAAUAUUGGACAAUGGGCGAAAGCCUGAUCCAGCAAUGCCGCGUGUGUGAAGAAGGCCUUCGGGUUGUAAAGCACUUUCGACGGGGAAGAAAUCCUCGUGUUGAAUAAGCACGAGUGUUGACGCUACCCGUAGAAGAAGCACUGGCUAACUCUGUGCCAGCAGCCGCGGUAAUACAGAGAGUGCAAGCGUUAAUCGGAAUUAUUGGGCGUAAAGCGCAUGUAGACGGAUACUUAAGUCGGACGUGAAAGCCCUGGGCUUAACCUGGGAACUGCGUUCGAUACUGGGUGUCUUUGAAUAUGGUAGAGGGAAGUGGAAUUUCUGGUGUAGCGGUGAAAUGCGUAGAUAUCAGAAAGAACAUCAGUGGCGAAGGCGGCUUCCUGGACCAAUAUUGACGUUAAAGUGCGAAAGCGUGGGGAGCAAACAG